rnacentral:rRNA from 1 species
ACGUAGGGAGCAAGCGUUGUCCGGAUUCACUGGGUGUAAAGGGUGCGUAGGCGGGACAGUAAGUCAGUGGUGGAAUCUCACGGCUCAACCGUGAAACUGCCGUUGAUACUGCUGUUCUUGAGUUCGGGAGAGGUUGAUAGAAUUCCAGGUGUAGCGGUGAAAUGCGUAGAUAUCUGGAAGAAUACCAGUGGCGAAGGCGGUCAACUGGCCCGAAACUGACGCUGAGGCACGAAAGCGUGGGGAGCGAACAGGA